AGCUGACGGGAGCGCAACUGACGCUCAUGCUCGAAAGUGCGGGUAUCGAACAGGAUUAGAUACCCUGGUAGUCCGCACGGUAAACGAUGGAUGCCCGCUAUUAGCCCCUUAGGGUUAGUGGCCAAGUGAAAACGUUAAGCAUCCCACCUGGGGAGUACGCCGGCAACGGUGAAACUCAAAGGAAUUGACGGGGGCCCGCACAAGCGGAGGAACAUGUGGUUUAAUUCGAUGAUACGCGAGGAACCUUACCCGGGCUUGAAUUGCAGAUGAAGGAUCCAGAGAUGGUGACGCCCUUCGGGGCAUCUGUGAAGGUGCUGCAUGGUUGUCGUCAGCUCGUGCCGUGAGGUGUCGGCUUAAGUGCCAUAACGAGCGCAACCCCUCUCUUCAGUUGCCAUCAGGCUAUGCUGGGCACUCUGGAGACACUGCCACCGUAAGGUGUGAGGAAGGUGGGGAUGACGUCAAAUCAGCACGGCCCUUACGUCCGGGGCUACACACGUGUUACAAUGGGUGGUACAGAGAGCGGGGAGCCCGCAAGGUCUCUCAAAUCUAUAAAUCCAUCCUCAGUUCGGACUGGGGUCUGCAACCCGACCCCACGAAGCUG
rnacentral:rRNA from 1 species